UGGGGAAUAUUGCACAAUGGGCGCAAGCCUGAUGCAGCCAUGCCGCGUGUGUGAAGAACGCCUUCGGGUUGUAAAGCACUUUCAGCGGGGAGGAAGGCGAUAAGGUUAAUAACCUCAUCGAUUGACGUUACCCGCAGAAGAAGCACCGGCUAACUCCGUGCCAGCAGCCGCGGUAAUACGGAGGGUGCAAGCGUUAAUCGGAAUUACUGGGCGUAAAGCGCACGCAGGCGGUCUGUCAAGUCGGAUGUGAAAUCCCCGGGCUCAACCUGGGAACUGCAUUCGAAACUGGCAGGCUAGAGUCUUGUAGAGGGGGGUAGAAUUCCAGGUGUAGCGGUGAAAUGCGUAGAGAUCUGGAGGAAUACCGGUGGCGAAGGCGGCCCCCUGGACGAAGACUGACGCUCAGGUGCGAAAGAGUGGGGAGCAAACAGG
rnacentral:rRNA from 1 species